rnacentral:rRNA from 1 species
UACGUAGGGCGCAAGCGUUGUCCGGAAUUAUUGGGCGUAAAGAGCUCGUAGGUGGCUUGUCACGUCGGGUGUGAAAGCUUGGGGCUUAACUCCAGGUCUGCAUUCGAUACGGGCUGGCUAGAGGUAGGUAGGGGAGAACGGAAUUCCUGGUGUAGCGGUAAAAUGCGCAGAUAUCAGGAGGAACACCGGUGGCGAAGGCGGUUCUCUGGGCCUUACCUGACGCUGAGGAGCGAAAGCGUGGGGAGCGAACAGG